GACGAACGCUGGCGGCGUGCCUAAUACAUGCAAGUCGAACGCUUUUUCUUUCACCGGAGCUUGCUCCACCGAAAGAAAAAGAGUGGCGAACGGGUGAGUAACACGUGGGUAACCUGCCCAUCAGAAGGGGAUAACACUUGGAAACAGGUGCUAAUACCGUAUAACACUAUUUUCCGCAUGGAAGAAAGUUGAAAGGCGCUUUUGCGUCACUGAUGGAUGGACCCGCGGUGCAUUAGCUAGUUGGUGAGGUAACGGCUCACCAAGGCAACGAUGCAUAGCCGACCUGAGAGGGUGGUGGGCCACACUGGGACUGAGACACGGCCCAGACUCCUGCGGGAGGCAGCAGUAGGGAAUCUUCGGCAAUGGACGAAAGUCUGACCGAGCAACGCCGCGUGAGUGAAGAAGGUUUUCGGAUCGUAAAACUCUGUUGUUAGAGAAGAACAAGGAUGAGAGUAAAAUGUUCAUCCCUUGACGGUAUCUAACCAGAAAGCCACGGCUAACUACGUGCCAGCCGCCGCAGUAA
rnacentral:rRNA from 1 species